UGGAACGUUAUCGAUAAGAAGAGAGCGUCUAGGCGAACAAUGUUCUUAAAGUUUGACCUCAAAUCAGGUAGGAGUACCCGCUGAACUUAAGCAUAUCAAUAAGCGGAGGAAAAGAAACCAACCGGGAUUGCCUUAGUAACGGCGAGUGAAGCGGCAAAAGCUCAAAUUUGAAAUCUGGUACCUUCGGUGCCCGAGUUGUAAUUUGGAGAGGGCAACUUUGGGGCCGUUCCUUGUCUAUGUUCCUUGGAACAGGACGUCAUAGAGGGUGAGAAUCCCGUGUGGCGAGGAGUGCGGUUCUUUGUAAAGUGCCUUCGAAGAGUCGAGUUGUUUGGGAAUGCAGCUCUAAGUGGGUGGUAAAUUCCAUCUAAAGCUAAAUAUUGGCGAGAGACCGAUAGCGAACAAGUACAGUGAUGGAAAGAUGAAAAGAACUUUGAAAAGAGAGUGAAAAAGUACGUGAAAUUGUUGAAAGGGAAGGGCAUUUGAUCAGACAUGGUGUUUUGUGCCCUCUGCUCCUUGUGGGUAGGGGAAUCUCGCAUUUCACUGGGCCAGCAUCAGUUUUGGUGGCAGGAUAAAUCCAUAGGAAUGUAGCUUGCCUCGGUAAGUAUUAUAGCCUGUGGGAAUACUGCCAGCUGGGACUGAGGACUGCGACGUAAGUCAAG
rnacentral:rRNA from 1 species